rnacentral:rRNA from 1 species
AACUAACGCUGGCGGCAUGCCUAACACAUGCAAGUCGAACGAGACCUUCGGGUCUAGUGGCGCACGGGUGCGUAACGCGUGGGAACCUGCCCUUAGGUUCGGAAUAACUCCCCGAAAGGGGUGCUAAUACCGGAUAAUGUCUUCGGACCAAAGAUUUAUCGCCUUUGGAUGGGCCCGCGUUGGAUUAGCUAGUUGGUAGGGUAAAAGCCUACCAAGGCGACGAUCCAUAGCUGGUCUGAGAGGAUGAUCAGCCACACUGGGACUGAGACACGGCCCAGACUCCUACGGGAGGCAGCAGUGGGGAAUAUUGGACAAUGGGCGAAAGCCUGAUACAGCAAUGCCGCGUGAGUGAUGAAGGCCUUAGGGUUGUAAAGCUCUUUUACCCGGGAUGAUAAUGACAGUACCGGGAGAAUAAGCUCCGGCUAACUCCGUG